rnacentral:rRNA from 1 species
AUUGAACGCUGGCGGCAUGCCUAACACAUGCAAGUCGAACGGCAGCACAGCAGUAGCAAUACUGUGGGUGGCGAGUGGCGGACGGGUGAGUAAUGCAUCGGGAUCUACCCAAACGUGGGGGAUAACGUAGGGAAACUUACGCUAAUACCGCAUACGUCCUAAGGGAGAAAGCGGGGGACCGAAAGGCCUCGCGCGGUUGGACGAACCGAUGUGCGAUUAGCUAGUUGGUAGGGUAAUGGCCUACCAAGGCGACGAUCGCUAGCUGGUCUGAGAGGAUGAUCAGCCACACUGGAACUGAGACACGGUCCAGACUCCUACGGGAGGCAGCAGUGGGGAAUAUUGGACAAUGGGCGCAAGCCUGAUCCAGCAAUGCCGCGUGUGUGAAGAAGGCCUUCGGGUUGUAAAGCACUUUUAUCAGGAGCGAAAUACUACUGGCUAAUAACCGGUGGGGCUGACG